CAUGCUGCACAGCAUCCUUCGUGCUCCUAUGUCCUUCUUCGACUCUACUCCUGCUGGAAGAAUCUUAAACCGCGUAAGUAACUCAAUUUAGCUGAUUGGGAUUGGACAAGGGGACAGCAGAUCAGCUGUAGUAUAUUUCCCUUGAUCUGAAGAUGUGUGGAUUAAGCUAAGUACUUCACCAUUAGAUCCCUGAAACAUGUUAAAAAAGAAGUAACUAGUAAGAAACCAGACAUGAUAACAACUCUUCUUUUGUUUUUCCACAACUGCAAUUUGCCUCUGAGAAGGAGAAACUGAUCAAAGACAGAUAUUAAAUGAUAAGUCAGGGGAUAAAUAGCAGUUAUAUCUCAUAACUGCAUAAAGCAAGUAGGCUCUUUCACUGUACAGUCAUAUGUGUCUGAAUGUGUAACUCACAAGUUAAUCUACAGAAAAGUACCAGAAUAAGACAAUCAAGAUAAUACCAUGACAAAAACAGUGACUGAAAUCUAGCCAUAACCUAAAGAACUUAAGGCUGAAAGUCAGUUUCUUCAUUGAUGCAAUUCCAUUGGAUCAAUCACUCAAGAACAUAUUAUUACAUGAACAGGUAUCCACAGACCAAAGUGUUCUAGACUUGGAAAUGGCAACCAAGUUGGGUUGGUGCGCCUUCUCCAUAAUUCAGCUUCUUGGGACAAUUGCAGUCAUGUCACAGGUCGCAUGGGAAGUAUUUGUCAUCUUUAUUCCAGUAACAGCAGUCUGUGUUUGGUACCAGGUAAGUAAGAUGUACAUGUUUUAGAUUUCUAAAUGCUAAAUAUAUUAAAACAAGAAGUUGCUAGUUUGUUUUGGGCAAAGAACUCUAGCAGUCAAGUAAGGGGAGGCCAACACGCUGAUAUAACCACGUUUGCUGCUAAAAUAAGAAGUUCUCAUCUAGCCACCUAGUAGAAGAGUUCUUGUAUACAUGAUCAAGUGAUGUUUGGGAAAAUAUUAGUAAAAUUAUAUUUAAAGAUCAAAGGAUGAACAAACCUUAUGUUUGUUGAAGAUUUCAAAGAUUUUCUUUCUAGUUUUUGUAAAAUGUUAUUUUAAGAUAUUAUUGUUAAAAAUGCCAGCAAUACUACAUACCAACUGCAAGAGAGCUUGCUCGUUUAUCUGGAGUUCAAAGAGCUCCGAUCCUCCAUCACUUUGCAGAAUCACUCGCAGGAGCAGCAACCAUUCGUGCUUUCAACCAAAAAGAUCGCUUUGCUCUUGCAAACCUUUGUCUCAUAGAUGGUCAUUCAAGGCCAUGGUUCCACAAUGUAUCAGCAAUGGAAUGGCUUUCUUUUAGACUGAACCAGCUAUCUAAUUUUGUUUUUGCCUUCUCCCUUGUUCUGCUAGUCACACUCCCUGAAGGAAUCAUAAAUCCAAGUAAGUAUCAGAAAUUGUUUUUCCUUAAUGUUGUUAUGUAGAGCACAAGUAGGAAACCAAGACAUCAAAAGCACAAAACUGAUGUCGCUUUAUAUUCUACAGGCAUUGCAGGAUUGGCAGUAACAUAUGGAAUCAAUCUGAAUGUUUUACAAGCUUCAGUAAUAUGGAAUAUUUGUAAUGCUGAAAACAAAAUGAUAUCAGUUGAAAGGAUUCUCCAGUAUUCAAACAUUGCCAGUGAAGCACCUCUUGUGAUUGAAAAUAGCAGACCAUCAAGCACUUGGCCAGAAACUGGAACAAUUUCCUUCGAGAAUUUGCAGGUAAUGACAGUCUCACAUAGCUUAGAUCGAACUAGACUCAGUUAUGAGGUUUGAAUACCAGAAAACCUUUAGUGAUCAGGAUGAAAUGAAUGAAGCUAUAUUUGCCACAAAAACUGGCAGCAAUAUUAUGUACUUGUUUAUAAUAAAACUUUUUAGCUGCCUGGCUUAAGAUUUACACCCUCUGAUAUCAUCACCAUACCUCUAUCUGCAGAUACGUUACGCUGAACACCUCCCGUCUGUUCUGAAAAACAUCACAUGCACAUUGCCAGGAAGUAAGAAAGUCGGUGUUGUGGGCAGAACAGGAAGUGGUAAAUCAACUCUCAUUCAGGCCCUUUUCCGGAUCAUAGAACCAAGAGAAGGAAGCAUCAUCAUCGAUGAUAUAGAUAUUUGCAAGAUAGGCCUUUACGAUUUGAGGUCAAGGCUUAGUAUUAUUCCUCAGGAUCCAACAAUGUUCGAGGGAACAGUUAGAGGAAACCUAGACCCGCUAGCAGAGCACUCUGAUACUGAAAUCUGGGAGGUACUUAUUGCACUGAGUAUUGCACAAAUAAUUAUGCAAAACUGACCACUUAAAUUGACAGAUUGUCUUAUAAGUCAUCAUUGCAUGGUAACAAGCUAAAAGCAAAAAACUUGUUAACCCUGUGGUAGGUCUUGUACUUGUUUUGCAAAGUCUAAAUGACUGGAGUAUAAACUUUAACCAACUUCUAUAUGUAGUCAAAAAAAAGUUGAAAUUAACUUAAAUAAUAAUGAUUCGAUUGUGAAUAAUGUGCAGUAAUCUUCUUUUGUCAGGCUCUGGACAAAUGCCAACUUGGUGAUAUAAUACGUGCAAAGCCAGAAAAGCUGGAAACUACAGGUGAGACUAGAAAUUUCUUGAUUAAAUAUAGUAAUUUAAGACACGGCCUUUUUUCAUGAAAGCAAUCACGUAUUACUUCUUGAAAGCUACUAAUGCGGUCAGUUUAACAGUGGUUGAAAAUGGAGAGAACUGGAGUGUCGGUCAAAGGCAGCUUUUCUGUCUUGGAAGAGCCUUGCUAAAGAAAAGCAGCAUUCUCGUUCUAGACGAAGCAACAGCAUCAGUUGAUGCUGCAACUGAUUCAGUGUUACAAAAGAUUAUCAGUCAAGAAUUCAUAAAUCGAACAGUUGUCACAAUAGCUCACAGAAUCCAUACAGUCAUUGAUAGCGAUCUUGUCUUAGUCUUGAAUGAAGGUAAAUAUUAGGAUACAUCUAAUAUCUCUCUAUCCUCUUGAUUUGAAUAAGCUGCUAACUUCUUGAUUCUAACUAUAUGAAUUCCUUCACUUGUUAACAGGAAGAAUAGCCGAAUAUGACACACCAGCAAAGCUAUUGGAAAGAGAGGAUUCUUUCUUCUCAAAAUUGAUAAAGGAGUAUUCAAUGAGAUCCAAAAGUUUUAACAGCUUAGCUAAAUUACAGACCUGACCUUGCUUCCUACGUUCUGGAAAAGAACUUGUAGAGGCACCAGUAGAAGCAAGAAAUCAUAUUGGUAAGCUAAAGCUUUUACUAAAGCUGAAAAGGGUCUAUAUCAGCCUCAGCUACUAGCCUACUGUAGAGGUCAACUAAGCACCCUGACAGUGCUUUUGGCGCAUUUAUAUCACCAUUCACAGGGAGUUGAAGUUUUGUAAGCUUAGUUCAGUAUGGUAAAGAACCUUCUCUAUUCGAAAGAACACUGCACGCUAUAUGAAGAAUACACACCCCUAGCAUUAAAAUUCUGUAACAUGUGUAAACCAUGAAUUACUUUUGUUCUUUAAGUUACCAAAAAAUUCUGUGUAAUCUAAGUUGCACUUUGAGCUUGAUGUCGCAAAUAAAGAACCUUCCAAAAUUCUGACGUGUUACUAUCAGAGGGUAGCAACAAACAAAAAAUAUAAGUUCAAUAAGCAGGAAAUUUUUGAUAUUUGCAUACUACUCAACUCCGAAUAAACAGUUAACAAACCAUCACACCAGAUUAUUGAGCUUAAUUUUCAGGAGAGGAUAGGUGAGUGAUAGAGGCAUAGACAACAUGGAGAUUCCAUACUCAAAUCCCAAUUAAAACACUCAGUGUGAAUCCAUCUACUCUAGCCUUGAGAGGUUUACCCCAGAGGCGGAGCCACAGUGUGGGCUUCGGGUUCGGCUGAACCCAGUAGCUUUGAUUCAAAUCAUGUAUUUUUCUUAAAUUUCACUAAAUAUGUAUAGAUUAUUAAUUUAGAACCCAGUAACUUAAAAGGAUUAGGAUCCCAAACCAUAAGCUUGAAAUCCUGGCUCCGACUCUGGACUUUGCCCCUCAACUUUGAUUUUCCAUAGAGAGUUAAAAAAGCAUUGUGCUUCAGCAACAAAAACUUAACAGUUUCCAGCAUUGAACGUCCACAGCAGACCAAAAGAUCUUCCUACUUCAUGCAUGGGCGCCGGAAAAUUACCUAUAUAUAUAUUAGAAGUUGAAUCUCUUUGACUUCUUCGUGUGUUUGCUUCUUUAUAUUUUGAAUUAAUAUUGACUUCAUGCCUCCCACAUGUAGAGUUCAAGUUAUGGGUUCAUCCGAAACCCAGUAGCUUGACUCGGACUAUUCGGUAAUUCUAAAAGUGCAAUGAAUUGAAGAAAUUCGUCAAAGAUCAAUUCAUCUGUGUCUAAAUUGUUACAAGGAAUCUGAGGGAUAAUCGAGUUUUACCUGAAUGAAUCAAAACUAUAUACGCACUUGCUCCAUCAGGCUUUGACUUGAAAAUGCAAAUGUGUUGACGAUUUCCAUCGGCAGUAAAGCCUAUUGCAAUUCCAAUAGUAUGUAUUUUCUGUGGGAACGUAGAAUGAGAUUUGAGAAUAGAUGAUAACCAUAACAAGUCGCCGCUGUGUGAAAAUUGCACUUAGU
rnacentral:lncRNA from 1 species